rnacentral:tRNA from 1 species
GGGCAGCUAGCUCAACUGGUUAGAGCAAUUCGUUUACACCGAAUAGGCUAGGGGUUCGAGUCCCUUGCUGCCCACCA